UACGUAGGGUGCAAGCGUUGUCCGGAAUUAUUGGGCGUAAAGAGCUCGUGAGGCGGUCUGUCGCGUCUGCUGUGAAAACCUAGGGCUUAACUCUGGGCGUGCAGUGGGUACGGGCAGGCUAGAGUGCGGUAGGGGGAGACUGGAAUUCCUGGUGUAGCGGUGAAAUGCGCAGAUAUCAGGAGGAACACCGGUGGCGAAGGCGGGUCUCUGGGCCGUAACUGACGCUGAGGAGCGAAAGCUGGGGAGCGAACAGG
rnacentral:rRNA from 1 species